rnacentral:rRNA from 1 species
UACGUAGGCAGCGAGCGUUGUUUGGAAUUACUGGGCGUAGAGAGUGUGUAGGCGGUGCUCCAAGUCUGUCGUGAAAUCUCCCGGCUCAACUGGGAGGGUGCGGCGGAAACUAGAGUGCUCGAGUGUUGGAGAGGUAAGCGGAAUUCCUGGUGUAGCGGUGAAAUGCGUAGAUAUCAGGAGGAACACCUGCGGUGUAGACAGCUUACUGGACCACGACUGACGCUGAGACACGAAAGCGUGGGUAGCAAACAGG